UGGCGGCGUGCUUAACACAUGCAAGUCGAGCGAUGAAGCUCUUCGGAAGUGGAUUAGCGGCGGACGGGUGAGUAACACGUGGGUAACCUGCCUCAUAGAGGGGAAUAGCCUUCCGAAAGGAAGAUUAAUACCGCAUAAGAUUGUAAUAUCGCAUGAUAUAGCAAUUAGAGGAGUAAUCCGCUAUGAGAUGGACCCGCGUCGCAUUAGCUAGUUGGUGAGGUAACGGCUCACCAAGGCGACGAUGCGUAGCCGACCUGAGAGGGUGAUCGGCCACAUUGGGACUGAGACACGGCCCAGACUCCUACGGGAGGCAGCAGUGGGAAUAUUGCACAAUGGGGGGAAACCCUGAUGCAGCAAACCGCCGCGUGAGUGAUGACGGUCUUCGGAUUGUAAAGCUCUGUCUUCAGGGACGAUAAUGACGGUACCUGAGGAGGAAGCCACGGCUAACUGCGUGCCAGCAGCCGC
rnacentral:rRNA from 1 species